AAGCCAGUGGUGAACUCCACAUACGCAUCCUUUGCUGAGGAUACGGUUAACGGAGCGAAAGCGACGUUCAACCGCAAAAGAAGCAGAGGGGGCUUAGUGGUGGGGUGACUGCGUACCUUUUGUAUAAUGGGUCAGCGACUUAUAUUCUGUAGCAAGGUUAACCGUAUAGGGGAGCCGGAGGGAAACCGAGUCUUAACCGGGCGUUAAGUUGCAGGGUAUAGACCCGAAACCCGGUGAUCUAGCCAUGGGCAGGUUGAAGGUUGGGUAACACUAACUGGAGGACCGAACCGACUAAUGUUGAAAAAUUAGCGGAUGACCUGUGGCUGGGGGUGAAAGGCCAAUCAAACCGGGAGAUAGCUGGUUCUCCCCGAAAGCUAUUUAGGUAGCGCCUCGUGAACUCAUCUCCGGGGGUAGAGCACUGUUUCGGCUAGGGGGCCAUCCCGGCUUACCAACCCGAUGCAAACUGCGAAUACCGGAGAAUGUUAUCACGGGAGACACACGGCGGGUGCUAACGUCCGUCGUGAAGAGGGAAACAACCCAGACCGCCAGCUAAGGUCCCAAAGUCAUGGUUAAGUGGGAAACGAUGUGGGAAGGCCCAGACAGCCAGGAUGUUGGCUUAGAAGCAGCCAUCAUUUAAAGAAAGCGUAAUAGCUCACUGGUCGAGUCGGCCUGCGCGGAAGAUGUAACGGGGCUAAACCAUGCACCGAAGCUGCGGCAGCGACGCUGAUGCGUUGUUGGGUAGGGGAGCGUUCUGUAAGCCUGUGAAGGUGUGUCGUGAGGC
rnacentral:rRNA from 1 species